rnacentral:rRNA from 1 species
UACGUAGGGUGCAAGCGUUUAAUCGGAAUUACUGGGCGUAAAGCGUGCGCAGGCGGUUCGCUAAGACCGAUGUGAAAUCCCCGGGCUUAACCUGGGAACUGCAUUGGUGACUGCAUCGCUCGAGUAUGGCAGAGGGGGGUAGAAUUCCACGUGUAGCAGUGAAAUGCGUAGAGAUGUGGAGGAAUACCGAUGGCGAAGGCAGCCCCCUGGGUCAAUACUGACGCUCAUGCACGAAAGCGUGGGGAGCAAACAGG